UGCGUAGGUGGCGCGCUAAGUCGGGUGUGAAAUCCCGGGGCUUAACCUCGGGACUGCAUUCGAUACUGGCGUGCUUGAGGACUGGAGAGGAGACUGGAAUUCAUGGUGUAGCAGUGAAAUGCGUAGAGAUCAUGAGGAAGACCAGUGGCGAAGGCGGGUCUCUGGACAGUUCCUGACACUGAGGCACGAAGGCCAGGGAGCAAACG
rnacentral:rRNA from 1 species